rnacentral:rRNA from 1 species
GACGAACGCUGGCGGCGUGCUUAACACAUGCAAGUCGAACGGAAAGGCCCUGCUUUUGUGGGGUGCUCGAGUGGCGAACGGGUGAGUAACACGUGAGUAACCUGCCCUUGACCUUGGGAUAACUUCAGGAAACUGGGGCUAAUACCGGAUAGGAGCUCCUGCUGCAUGGUGGGGGUUGGAAAGUUUCGGCGGUUGGGGAUGGACUCGCGGCUUAUCAGCUUGUUGGUGGGGUAGUGGCUUACCAAGGCUUUGACGGGUAGCCGGCCUGAGAGGGUGACCGGCCACAUUGGGACUGAGAUACGGCCCAGACUCCUACGGGAGGCAGCAGUGGGGAAUAUUGCACAAUGGGCGGAAGCCUGAUGCAGCAACGCCGCGUGCGGGAUGAAGGCCUUUGGGUUGUAAACCGCUUUCGCCUGUGACGAAGCGUGAGUGACGGUAAUGGGUAAAGAAGCACCGGCUAACUACGUG